GACGAACCGUGCGAACGUUGUUCGGAAUCACUGGGCUUAAAGGGCGCGUAGGCGGCCUGGCAAGUGGAAGGUGAAAUCCCUCGGCUUAACCGAGGAACUGCCCUCCAAACUGCUUGGCUUGAGACCAGGAGAGGUGAGUGGAAUUCCCAGUGUAGCGGUGAAAUGCGUAGAUAUUGGGAGGAACACCAGUGGCGAAGGCGGCUCACUGGACUGGUACUGACGCUGAGGCGCGAAAGCUAGGGGAGCAAACAGG
rnacentral:rRNA from 1 species